CUCGAAUCCUCAUUUAAAAGUCCCUUAAACUCAAGUACUAAUCACCCAUUUUUCCCAAACAUUUCACUACUAAUUAGGUCUUUAGUCACAUAAAAACGAGUUAUGAAGUCAAGGAUGUUACCUUAAAGUGAGUACCCUUUGUUUUCCUCAAAAUGCUCUCUCAAAAGCUUCAAACCAGGAUGAAAAUGGUGAAAACAAUAGCUCAAAUUCAUGAAGGCAACUAUUUAUAUGUUCUGGGUCAGACAUUUUCGCAUCUG
rnacentral:lncRNA from 1 species